rnacentral:rRNA from 1 species
ACGUAGGGUGCAAGCAUUAUCCGGAGUGACUGGGCGUAAAGAGUUGCGUAGGUGGUCCGUAAAGCGAAUAGUGAAAUCUGGUGGCUCAACCAUCAGCCUAUUAUUCGAACUCACGGACUCGAGAGUGGUAGAGGUAACUGGAAUUUCUAGUGUAGGAGUGAAAUCCGUAGAUAUUAGAAGGAACACCAAUGGCGUAGGCAGGUUACUGGACCAUUUCUGACACUAAGGCACGAAAGCGUGGGGAGCGAACCGGA